GGGCGUGAGCUCUGGGAACGGUCGGGCCUCCAAAGCCCAAUGGCCUACGGGUUCGAUUCCCGUCACGCUCGC
rnacentral:tRNA from 1 species